CACAAUUUUCUUAUUGAUUUUUGUUCUGUACGUCUUUCUUGUGAACCAUUAAGAAAGACGUACAGAACAAGAAUCAAUAAGAAAAUUGUG
rnacentral:pre_miRNA from 1 species